rnacentral:lncRNA from 1 species
GGUGUCAUUUUGAGUUCUAGACAAGGGUUCUUUGCAAGGCAUUUUAAAUCAUUAUUCCCAAUGCAAGUGAAUGCAACCUAUAUGCUCUAGACUCAAUCUUAAAAGUGCAAGUGAUGCAACUACAUGUUUCUUUUUGUGUUUUUCAAAUUUUUUAUUUUUUUUUGGUUUUUUCUAUGCAUAUAUGUAUGUACAAUGCGAUGCAUGAGACUCAAUUCAUCAAAGAAAACAUGAUCAAAUACUUGAUACCUCCCCCAAACUUUGUUCACACAGUCUCUGUGUUAGAAAGUAGGAGGAGAUACCGAAAAGAGAAAUAAAUGCAAAGAAAAACUGAUAUAUACAAAGGAAGGGUGAUGAUGAAACCUGGCUAAGCAAAGGAGGAUGCUCCCUCCGUGUCGUCGUCGUCGGUAGCGACUGAAGGAGACUCGUUGGAGGAGGCUCGGGGUGGAGGAGCUGUGUUCCUGCGUCUACAACGGAGUCGGUACUCCGGGGAACGAGGAGGUCCAUAGAAGACGGGGUAUGGGAGAGUAGAUGGACCAGCAGCUGCCAACACGUCAUCCCGUUGACAACCAGAAC